CAGCUGAAAUGUUGCAUCCUCCCCCUAAGGUUAAAGGCACAAGGGGUGAUUACAACCAGCAAGAAAACUGGAAAUAAUGGGAUCAGACGAUAUGGAACUAGCUUCUCUCCCCAGUGACUGGUGCCAGGUAUUUACACUGCAGCAAGACAAAGGCAGGAAAUUUCUCUUUGGAUUUUAGCACUUGUUUCUGAAACAGCAGAACCCAAGCAGCGGGACCAGUGGAGGAUGGAUGGGCGUCUGGCAUUGAUUGGUACCCAGCCUGAAUAAUACAUCAAGGGCCUGUGACUUCAUCACAAAAGCCUUGAGAGCCAGCCUUCUACAAACCAGACUCCCCAGGGACUCACCUCAGCAGGUGUCUGCAGUUGGAAAUGAAGUGGGAGGAAUAUUCCUGAACUCCAGGCUGAGAGGUGGAGAAACAGGCCCAGCUUCCCCUUGGAAAUGUCUAAUAACACAAGCCGAGCAUGAUGUCCCUGCUUCCUCAAUCAAGUGAUGGCAGAUGUCAGUGGCUGAGGCUUGGCCCAUCACGGCCAGCUACAAUGGACAGCUGACCCUGCAGCAUCUGACCACGAGCACCUGCACCUCUCUGCCCAGCCUGGUCGUGUUGGAGGCUCCUGGGACUUGCAGGGAGAGAGUAGACAAGCUCAAAUGAAGAAAGAAAGCAGAGAGAGAGAGAAGAUGCCAACUCUUCCACAAAGUCCUAUCGGGUAUUGCAGUGGCUUGAAUGGUGUCUCCUCAAAAUUCAUGUCUACCCCGAACCUAAGAAGGUGACUUUAUUUAGAAGUACAGUCCUGCAAUACCAGGUCGAUGCGCGGAGCUGACAGAAGUACGGUCCCUGCAGAUGGUUCCUAUUGGAUCAGAAUGGGACCUAAAUCCACAGACUGAGGUCCUAUAAGAAGAGGAAAGAGGCACCCAUAGACACACAGAGGAGGCCAUGUGAUGACAUGGGCAGAGACUGGAGUGAUGUGGCCACAAGUCAGGGACACCAGGAGCCACCAGAAGCUGGAAGGGGCAAGGAACGGAUUCUCCCGCAGCACGACCAACACCUUGAUUUUGGACUUCUGGGCUCCAGAAUUGUGAGAGAAUAAAUAAAGUUCUGUUGUUUCAAGCCACCCAGUUUGUGGUCAUCUGUUCUGUCACUCCUAUGGGCACUUCAGAAUGUUCCCCAGGGCCCGCCCGCACGCUUUUCCAUCAGAGGGCUGAGUGCGGCCGGGGGCAACAAGCCAGCAGUGGUUUCUGAGUGGGGGCUG